rfam:Perkinsus marinus ATCC 50983 gcontig_1104296687334, whole genome shotgun sequence.
GCCUCGGUAGCUCAGUCGGCAGAGCGCGUGCCUUUUAAGCCCGUGGCCGCGGGUUCGAGCCCCGCUCGAGGUG